UACUGUGCUUCUCUCUAACUAGAGAGAGCAAGUCUUGUAUAAAAGACUAUGUGCCAUUCUUUUUUUUUUUUUUUUACAGCUUUCAUAUAUUUUGGUUGAGCAUUUUAGAAUUCUUAAGAAAAGCCUGUUGUGCAUAUCUUUGAGAUAAGUCAUCGAGUGUUCCUUGUUUACUUGGUGAUUUAUCAUAUACUUUCAUCAUUCAUAUUGCAUUCAUAUGCAUGUCGGUGACUCAUACAGUUGAGGACACCAAGACCGUGGUGGCGGUUUUCCUCCAGCGAGUUUGAGACCAUCGUGGCCAGUAUUGCGUUCAACAUAAGAAGUGUGAGUACUUCUUGUAAUCAUCGUUCUAUAGUGGAUUUGUG
rnacentral:lncRNA from 1 species